GGGGGCGAAACGGGUUCGACGGGGAUAAAGAAGCUUGAGUUGCAUACCGAGGUUCCAUCUGCUCGUAAAACAGGUGGAGAUAAAGUAGACGCAGACGAUUAUGGCCCUGCCAAUCUAUCCCGCGAGAUUGGAUAAGGGCGUCGACAUAGCGGGAUAGCCCUUCCCUUUAACCUGUAGACUGGAUGGGCGAAAUUUUAUACAGGUUAGUCCCUGGGCAACCUGGCCUGGUAGGGAACCCUGGGGCGAAAAUCUAUUAUCGGGCUAUGUAUGUAGACGCUUAAGUGGAAUAUUUUCGGACGGGGGUUCGACUCCCCCCGCCUCCACCA
rnacentral:tmRNA from 1 species